GGGGAUGUACCGGUUUCGACAGGAGAUUCUGGGACAUAAACAGCGAGUCGGGAUCCCACCUGCCCGUUAAACGGUGGAAAAACCUAAACGCAAAACGUGAUUUUGCUUUAGCAGCCUAAUCUGCUAAUGUCCCCUGCAGUUUUCCUAUGACCGCAGGCUGACAUCAACCAAUAGGAUAGAGCGGAAGGAUGCUUGGGACUUUCGUUUCGAAAACCAUUCCGAGAUCGGCAAAGGCAGUUUGUUCCUGUACGAUACUUUGCUUAAAUCUUAAAACAGUGAACUGCACUCGGAGAGGUUUAUGGGACAGGCUUUUUGGACAGGGGUUCGACUCCCCUCAUCUCCACCA
rfam:Dialister sp. CAG:486 genomic scaffold, scf660